rnacentral:lncRNA from 1 species
UUUCUCUUAACUUUCUUUCCUUCAACAAUUUACUAUUUUUCCCCACACUUUCUUUUUCAAGCCAAACACACCCUAAAAUUUUCCACAUUUUUCUACACUCUUCUCUCACAAAAAUCAGAACAUCCCUCUUCUCUCUUCCCCCUCUCUCACGUGUUCCUUUCUUUCACUCCCACCAUUACCUAUUUCACUUUUGUAGCAAAAUCAAGCUAGAAAUGACAUUUCAAGUUGUAGAAAAGUGAUUUUUGUGUUGUGUUUUGAGCAUUAGAGGCAAGCUUGAGCAAGAAACAAGAAUAUUGAAGCUAGGGUUUGGCUUGGCAAGAAGAUUGAGGCAGGGGCUGAAUGUAAGUAUAAGUGAUUAAUAGCUUAAAUUGAGGUAAAAGUGAUUAUUUUGAGAAGCAAUUCAAGUUAUGUUGAUUGAUUAGAUGUAUAAGUUGUUACUGACUUUGGGAUUCUAUGAUGAAUCUGUUUUUGGGCUGUUAGUAGUAUAAAUUUUGUCGUUGUUGCUGUUUGGAAUGAAAAGCUAAAAGUUAAAAGCCAUAAGUUGUUCCAAAAGCUUCCGUAGUUGAUUAUUGGGUUAAAUAUGUUAGAAUUUAUUUAUUACUGGUGUAGGAGCUGUGUAUACAUAUUUUAUUUGAUUCUGGAAAAUUUGAGUUGAAAUUGAAUUGUCUAGAGGUCAUAAGCUGUCAGUAAGCUGUUUUGGGAAUUUUGCCUUAAAUGACUAAGUUGUGGAUUAACCUUCUGUAUAAGUGGUUCAUGGGGCUGAGUAUAUAUGUUGGAACAUCUUUGCUGAAUGCUUGGUCGAAAUUAAUUUGAUAGAAGCCAUAAGCUGCUAGUUAAGCUGUUUGGAAGUGCUUAAAUAGCCAAACGACGUACUUCUGGUGCAAGGACUGAAAUUGAAAUUUUUGUGUAUGCUGGUUGAUGAAGUAAGAGUACAUCACAAAUGAGUUGAGUUGUUUUGGAAAGAGCAAGACCUAUAAGCCAAGACAUAAGCUAUUUUGGAAAAUGGAUUAUGGAGUUUUGGACUAGCAAAAGCUGCAAAUUUUGGAUAAGCUGCUUGCAAUUUCGGGACUAAUUCCAAGAAAUAACACUUGGAAAGGGUGGACAAUUAGCUAGAGCGGCUGGUGCUGUAGCGAAAUUGAUUGCAAAAGAGGGGAAAUCGGCAACAUUAAAAUUACCUUCUGGAGAGAUCGUUUGAUAUCAAAAAACUGCUCAGCAACAGUAGGACAAGUAGGGAAUGUUGGAGUAAACCAAAAAAGUUUGGGCAGAGCCAGAGCUAAACGUUGGUUAGGUAAGCGCUCAGUUGACAAAAUGCAUGUCUAUUAAACUUGUUUAUGAUUGAUGAUUUAGGAGAAUAUUUUGAUACGUGAUAAGUGAGUCAUAUAUGUAUGAAGAAAAAAAAGCACAAACUUUGGUCUGCAAUAGAUGAAAUAUGUGAGAAUGCAAAUAAAGGAACUAAUAGUUAAGGUUUCAAAUUAGAAAGGCAAGAAAGUUU